GCUAUCUCCCCAAAGCCCUGCUGUUGAUCUAGGAAUGUGCUACAGGCCCAGCCGUGGCCUUUGGCUGGCCACUCUGUGAUUUGAGUACAACGGUCAGAUUUCCACCAGCUGCUCCAAACUGCCUGCUUCAGAAAGAUGUCCCUGGCACCCACUGCUCAGCGUUCAUCUGUAGCCCGUGCUCACCAGGGGCAUGCGCAGUGCCUCCCAAGGAAAGGGUAGGCAGGGACAGACUGGAGGACGAUUAUUGGAAGUAGGUGAGCCCCAGUCUAGGGCUCCUGCCCUCGGGGUAUUUUCAGGACAGGGCAGGAGUCCACUGGGGAGUCCAGUCCCCUAGCCAAGGCUGAGGACUAUCCUGGCUGUGGCUCAAUCUGAGCCACCCAGGGGGAGGGUUCUCUUGCUGAGUCCACCUGUGGAGCAAAGGCACAAGGUAAGUGGGACCAGAGAAGCCAGCUGGAGGAGGUUGGAAUGGGAGCGUAGCACUUAUUGAGCACCUAUGGUGUGCAGCAGGCAAUGCCGGCUGAGUCUGCUCUCUCUGUGUUGCUCAUUAUUUGAGGAAGAGAUGGAGUGACUGGGCCUGUGUUGGGGCCACAGGGGAACCUUGAAGAGGUGGAGGGUGGAGAUCUGACUCCUGCUGGAGCCAGGAAGCCUUCACAGAGGAGUCGGAGUUGAUGCUUGACAGUUGAAAACGAGGAGGGCAUUUUCAGGAGGAGGGAACAGCAUUUGUGAAGGUCAGAGGUCAGGAGGAAUGGCCAUGUUGGGCAUGUGAAGAGUCUGGGUUUUUCAUGGUAGGAAUUUAUAGGUGAGGAGGCUGAGUAAUAGGAAGCUCUAUAAGGCUUCCCAGGACACAGGUGCUUCCGUGUGAAAAUCAGGAAAGUCCUAGGAAAAUUGGGGUGAGUUUUUCACUGUCCUGGGUAAUCUAACUUGGGUUCAGAUAGAAACAGGCUUUGAACAUACUGAUAAGAUGUCUGGAACCAUGGUAAGUUAUAAAAGUUUAUUUUUUGUGUGUGGGAGGGGGUAAAGGGAAGAGGAAGAAGUAGGCAUGUGCUAUAAACCAAGCCCACUUUAUUUCUACCCAAUGGAAAUAAUUAUCUCCAGUUUGCAAAUGAGAAAAGUGAGUAUCAGAGACAGUAAGGUACUUGUUCCAUGUAACACAGCAAAUAAGUGGUAGAGGUGGGUUUCUGGGGUAGGUGUGCUUGGUUCCAAAGCUAAUGCUCUGAACCACGGAGUCACCUGUGUCAGGACGAAGCUCUAGAAGGACAAGGGGUGGGUAUUGUACCCCACAAUAGAAGUUGCCUGGGAUUUCUCUGAGUUGAGGCCUCAGAGGCUCUGGAAAGAUGGCCAGUACUAUGUGACCCUUGGUUACCCUGUCUGUGUCAAUAGACGGCCAGCAAGCAGCCCCAGGGCUGGCUGGGUCUCCCUACCUCUGUGUCCCCAUUGUCCACCCCAGGGUCUGAUUAGGAUAGGUCUCAGUGAGUAAUAUGGAGUGGAGCAGGGACCUGGCCUGGCCCCACGGUGACUGACAGGAGCCUGAAGGGGCUACCCAGUAGCCACUCCCAGUGGGGAAAGAGCAUUGCCUGCAGACCGCAGGAUGGGGCAGUCCCUGGAGCACACGGAGGCGCCCCCUCACUGAGCAGGCAGCAAACACACGCUCGGCUCAACCCUUAGCAGAGAAGGCCCAGGCUCACCCAUGACCAGCCCAGGCUGCUUGGCAACGUGGCAUUUGCAUAUGCCCAACAGAGACAGGCACAGAGUGUUAAUGGGCUGAUGGAGGAGCCCUGACCUAGAACUAGACACGGGUGAGUGGGGAGAAGCAGGCGGUAGGAGGGAGGCCAGCAGGAAAGAGGAGCCAGGGUGUGGGGGCCUGGCAGCAGGUGUGGCAGGCAGCAAGUAUGUCAGGCAGAGGGCCUGAGUGUCGGGACAGGUGGCUGGAGCCAAAUGACAGGAGUCUGGCUACAGGCAGCCAGUCUUGUGUGCCUGAUCUGCGGCAAGGCUGCACCUGCAGAUGGUGGUCAGGGGGCUGCUGCACAGGGCAGGAAGCCAGGCACACUAAUGUUCGGGGCAUAUUAGAAGGUGGGAUAUGCACGCCUCCUGAACUUGGGCACAUGCCUGGCUUCUAGGCCAUCCUGUGCCCAGCAGGCCCUUGGCACUUGGGGUCAGCCCUCUGAGGAGGGCAUCUCAAGGUCAGAACAGCAGCAGAGCCUUCUCCUCUGCAAGAGAAGCUGCCCUGACAGCCCCAUUGGCCCCAGGAAGAGAAAUGCCAGGGCCAGUGGUUGAGUUUAGUCAGACUGUUGGUGGACACAAUGAAAGAGGUGUCCCAACCUUUGGUAGAAAGCCCACGCAGUACAGUCUCCAGAGAAAUGACCCCUCUGUCCCUUAGAAGGUCCACGUUUUGGUAAGGAUCAAGGAAAGGCCCACAGUGGGUGCCACAUGGCCAGGACUCCCACAGGCCUCUGUGCAGCAGUGGGGUCCAGAGGGACCCGUUCUGGCCAGGAACAUUUUCCUGGGCUCAAGGCUUAGGUGGGGGCUCCUUUGCAUCUCCCUGGGAGAAGAGGGAGAGAGAGGCAUUGCUUAAUGGGUACAAAGUUCCUUCUGGUGGUGAUGAAAACAUUGUAGAAAUAGUGCUGAUGGUUACACAACAUUAUGAGUGCAAUUGAUGCCACCAAACUGUGUGCUUAACUAUGGUUAAAAUAGCAAAUUUUAUGCUACAUAGCCAUAUAUUUUACCACACUGGAGGAAAAAAAUUGUCAGGGUCAUGAGAAAGAGGGAAAGACUGAGAAAAUGUUCAGUCUCUUUCCGAAAGAAAGAGAUUAAGGCGAUGUGACAACCAAGUGAAACAUGGUGGCUGGGAUUGGAGCCUGCACCAGAAAAAUGACCAUUUAAUGUCCAUGAAGGAAAAACUGGUGACAUCCAAAUAAAGUCUGCAGUCGGGUUAAUAGUAUUGUUCCAAUGUUAAUUUCGUCUCUUUGACAAAUGUACCGUGGUUAUGUAAGAUGUUCACAUUAGCAGAAGGUGGGUGCAGGAUGCAUGGGAACUCUCUGUAUUCUUUGCAACUUUUGUGCAAAUCUAAAACAAAAAGGCGCCGGGACUGCCAAGGAGAGAUGUGGGGCGGCCUUGGCACCUGGGGCCCUGGCUCGGCCCAGAAAGGCUGGGUGGCCUGGAGUUGGCUCUCAGCUGGCAGGAGGGAUCUAGCCCCAGCUCCUCUGAGAUGACCCCUGCUGAAAAACAGGGGCAGGUGAGAGGUGGGGUUUCCCAGCGUGGGGUAGGGCUGGUGAGCCAGGCCUGGCUCUGGCAGCAGGUGCCCUGGGAGCUCUUUCCUGGUUCUCCUUGCUCUCCUCAGUUCAGCAGAAUCUGCUCACCAAAGGAGGGCUCUUUGCCUCUCUGGGUCCUGGGGAAUCUCAGGGGUGCUGAGGGCUUGGGAAGGCUCAUCGGGCAUUAAGGGUUGGGGUCUGGCUGCAUCCUGUCCAUCCACAUGCAGAAUUCAGGGGGCUGACAGCCCUUCCCUGGUGCUGCCCUGGCCAUCUGGGAAAAGGAAGGGUGGAACCGAGGUGGCCACUGCCAGGGGGCUGGGACUAGCUGGAACGAGAAAUAAUCAGGACCCUGAAUCUCCCUCAUCCUAGGCCCCCUCCCCUUUCUACACAUCUUGUGUUCCAUUUUUAUCUUGGCUCCACCCAUGGCUUCUCUGCUGCCCUCAGGAAUAUGGGGAAGUCAGUGUCUAAGGUGAGCUUUCCCAGCCCAAAGCAGUCAUGUGGCCAACAUUGGCCUCAGCAACAAGGACAGGCUGCAGGAGAGGCCCCCAGAGUGGUUAGGUCAGGGAGGAGAAAACAGGAAGUGACUAUUUAGUGAGCACUUACUGAAUGGCAGUCUCCUUGAAUCUCCAAAUCAACUGCAAGAUAAGUCGGUGUAUCCACCCUACAGACCAGGAGAUGAAGGCCGAGAGCAGUGUGGGAUGAACCACCUACCUGCGUCAGGAAACUCAGGUGUCUUUGAACUCCAGAUUCUGAUUCUUUCCUCUGGGCUGGGGUGAGUGAGGGGUGGGGUGAAUCUAACUUCCCAGGCUGGGGUCAAUGUCCAGGCGGAGGGACAUUCAGAGCUUCUAGGAGCACUGAUGACAGGACAGGAGGCACACUUGGCAAUGUCAUUCUCUGGAAGGGGGCAGAGUGUGCCUUUUUUGAGGCCAAAGGUUUUAGAGAUAGAUGCUGGGCUUGGCCCAGGAGGAGGUGACCUAGUAAGUCAUGCGUGGACCUGGGUGACAGAGCCUCUGAGGUGCUGGUGGAGCCUCUGCAGGGAGGAGAGGUCCUUUCCCAGCUGCCACAUUCUGUAUGUGGGUCUCUUGGUCAGUUUUGUUCUUGGAGAGGACACACACUUCCUGGAGGAGGUCUGGAGCUGGACGUUCCUCCCUGUCCCUCUCUGUACCUGUCCAUCCUUCCAGACCUUGCUCUUACACACCCUUGCCAACUUCAACCUGUGCAUGUCCCCAGCCUCCCCUUCCCCAUUGCUCCCUCUGGGGGACCUUCUUCACCUUUAGGUAGCUCCCCAGUUACAGCCCUGAGUGCUGGUUUCCUUGGUCAAGUUUCGGUGGCUGCUUUACCAGCACCUCAAGCCCUCAGACAGCCCAGGAGGUCUCUCUCUUCCCUUUUUCAAGAUAGCAUAUGUAGGGCUGGGGUUGUGGCUCAGAGGUAGAGCGCUCGCCUAACAUGCGUGAGCCACUGGGUUCCAUCCUCAGCACCACAUUUAAAAAAUAAUAAUAAAUAAAUAAAUGAAAAAAAAAGGCAUAUGUGAACUUUAGGCUCAGUAUAUAUUGGAGCAGGGCUGGGGCCAUGCUUCUUUGGAAAUCCUGAAUAGAGACAAAGGAGUCACAUGUAGAAAGAUUGGGCUGGAGCCCAGGUAUCUCCCCAAUGAGCUGUGUCUGUGUUAGGCAGGUCUUGCACAGAGUUCAAGCCAAGGCCCAGACCCAUUGUGCUGCUCCUCUGGGUACGGCCUUUGCUCUGAAUUCUACUCCCCCAGGAGAGAGGAGAGUGGGCCUAGAACAUUCUGUUCCUGUAGGCUGUGGAUUUUGGCUAUGAUUGUGCAAAAGAUGAUUGGUGUGUUACUAGUAAAUGCACAGUGAUCUAGAAAGCAAUAACCACUCCACCAAUCUUCUUAGAAGUCUCAGAGAGCUGUGGGCUUGCUUUCCUUUAGAGGUAAGUCUCUAGCAGGACACAAAGCAUGUCCGCUGGAGGCAUCCCCUGAGAUCUGUGGGCCAAGAAAAGUUUGCAGGGGCCUGAGGAAGCAGGCCGGGCUUUGCCUCAUGGGAUCUAUAGCUGACACAGAGCACUUUGGUGCCACCAGCUUCCCUUGCUCCAGAGUGUCUGAUGGAUAAGCACUGCUGUGUCACAAGGUCACUCUCAUGUUAACUGAGUUUAUCCUGCAUUACCCCUGCUGGGGUCUGCCUACAUCCCUAAAUCUUAAUUCCUAGUCUUCGGCCUCAAGGAAGGCAUGAGCCAAGCACUGCUGUUGCUUUUGUUCAACAAGUGCUUGGAGUAAGGGGUCACCAGCAACUGAAAGAUUCAAUAUUCAUACACUGGGGAGCUCAAAGCAGCAAAGUCAGGUGUGAAAUAACUACAGCCACAGUAUGAUAAGGGCCUGAGAGGAUGCAAGAAAGGGCUGCAUCGUGGGGAAAGAGAGGCUUGGAGUGCUCCACAGAGGAAGGGGCAUUUGACACUUAAGGACAGAGAAUACUGCCAACCUUGGGAUUCACAUUUUUAUGUUUUGUAUUGAAAGAGGAAGAGCUGAGGACAUAGUUCAAUUGCAUAGAGCUUGCCUAGCAUGUGUGAGGCCCUGAGCUCUCCAUCCCCAGCACUGAAGAGAAAGGAGAAAGAAAGAAAGAAAGGAAGGAAGGCUGGGGAUGUGGCUCAAGCGGUAGCGCGCUCGCCUGGCAUGCGUGCGGCCCGGGUUCGAUCCUCAGCACCACAUACAAACAAAGAUGUUGUGUCCGCUGAUAACUAAAAAAAAAUAAUAAAUUAAAAAAAAAAGAAAGAAAGACCGGCCAGGUGCAGUGGAAUACACCUGUAAUCCCAAUGACUCGGGAGGCUGAGACAGGAGGAUCGAGAGUUCCAGGGCAGCCUCAGCAACUUAGAAAGAUUCUGUCUCAAAAUAGACCCUAUCCCUGAAAAUAAAAUUAAAAGGGCUGGGGAUGAGGCCAGUGCUAGAGCACUUGCUAAGCACAUGCUGGCCUUGGGUUUAAUCCCCAGGACUGUGCAAACACGCCCACACAACCUCUCCCCUGCAAAAAAAAAAAGGUGAGGUGCCAGGCUGAAUGACAGCUCUGGCAGAAGGAGGGUGCAGAGGUAGAGUAACCCAGCGCUAGGUCAAGAAGGACCUGAUUCCUCAGAAGGCGAGGAAGAUUGAGGCCAUCAUGAAAAGGCCAGUCCAGUGUGGAAACCUGGGGGUGCUCAGGUCAUGCUCACUGGGUCUGAGCCUGGUCACCCCAGUGCACAGUCUAGAGCCACUGUCACUUUCCAGGAAUUGCAAAGGCAUCCAAUGCCUUCUGCACUGCAUGAGCUCAAAAGCAUACCCUGAAAGAGACGGGUAUGGUGCCCCUCUGCUUAGGCAGCCACCAGACCAGUCAGUAGAGGCAACUGUCAGCCAGACCUAGAGAGCUCCUGGUGCAAAACUCUGCCAUAGCAGAAAAGGAACUGUGGUCGCACCAGGGUCACACAGCUCAGAGCAGGCUUGGUGCCCCUGACAUCUGCUCUGAUCUUCUUCCUGUUGAAAGAUUCCUCCCUGGCCUUGCUGAAAGCAAACUGGAGCCAUAUGCACAUCAGAGGGGAAAAUUUACAUUCAUUACAUGGAUGUCUGUUUACACUUCUCUUCUUGGAGCUAUGUGCUCAAUCAAGGCCCCCUGCCCUGUCCAAAGGAGGCAUCAAAGUGUCCCAGGGUGCUGACUCCUGCAUGUGCAGCAUUAGAGGAUGCAGCAGCUGUGUGUUGUCCCUGAGCAGCGAGCCGAGGCUUUGCUUCAAUCCACUAGUAGCUUCUGAAGCACAAGAAAGAACAGACAAGUACUUGAGUUAAACACUGCAUGGGCCAUGCAGGCCUUUGUCCUGACAUGCCCAGUUACAAAUGAACAGCUCGGUUGAUAGACCCUGAGAGCUACCUGAAAACAGAACCAAGGGAAGAGGAUUCUGACAGGGAAAGUCUGACUUUCCUCAGGCCGACAGUGCUGUGGCCAGGGCUGGGCUCCACCAUACACGCAUUAGGAGUUUGAGUAGGAGAUCUCACAAUGGCCGUUCUGUGGUAGGGCUGGGGAGAGACUGGCUGGUUUGACUCCCUGCCGUGAGUGAGGUCACUGAGCCUGGGGAGGGACCACGCUUGAUGUGUUUCCCCAGGGAGGCACUGGCUGCACUGUCUCCCAGGCAAAGCUCCUUCCUCCUAGUACACAGUGAGGCCGCCUCUGAAUUUGAGGGGGGGAAGAUGGAGAGCUGUGGGUGCCCAGCCCAAGAGAUGUGUCAGGGGAGGGGAGCCAGGGACCCCAGCAAAGAGGAGCUUAGAACCCUUCCAGCUGUGACUAAGGAAGUAGCAGGGUGAGAGAGGCUCAGGUGUAGCUGGAAAUGAGCAGCAUGAGGGAUCCUUGGGACACCCCUGUUCUGUAUCUUGCUUGUAGCAACACUAGUCUCUCUAUAUCCUGUUUGCUCUAUUGGACUAGAGCAUUGCAAGGUGUUCUCUCUGGGGGAAAUGGGGUCAAGAUUACUUGACAUCUCUCUUAUAACUACAUGUGAAUCAAAAAUUAUUUCAAGAUCAAAAGUUUAAGAGCAAAAAUUUUUAGUGGACACAUUGGUACAUGCCAGUAAUUCCAGCUACUCAGGAGGCUGAGGCAGGAGGAUUACAGAUCAAGGCCAGCCUGAGCAACUUAGAUCCAGUCUCUGAAUAAAAAGUAUAAAAAGGGCUAGGGAUGUAACUCAGUGGAAGAGCACUUGCCUAGCAUGUGCAAGGCCCUGGGUUCAAUCCCCAGUAGUGCAAAAAAAAGGGGGAGGGAUUAAAAAGGGUAAACCUCUGAGCUGGGGUCUGAGGAGAAGAGAGGACAGCCAGGAAGUAGACACUUGAGGCAAGUGGAAAUGGCCCAUGCCCUUAUCACCCAGCUGCAACAUGCCCAUCCAGGGAAGGCGGGCCACAGGCUGGCGCCAAGAGAUCUGUGAGCACAGUGACUUCUGGGCCCGAUAGAAGGGGGCAUCCAUCAGCAGGGAACAAAGACAGAGAGAGGGAGUCUGUGGGAGGAAAGGUGAGGAAGCCACCAAAGGCCCUCAGUGACUGGUGAGUGGACAGCGAGGGCCAUCGGAGGGGAUGUCGUCUAUGUAUGGCCCAUGUAUGGGGAAAAGUGCUGUCAUUGUAGUCAGAAUGGCAGUUUUCAGUCGUGCUGGACAAGUGAUCCCCGGGACAUCUCUGAGCCAACAGCUAGCCACGGGCUCAGAGGCGUAUGCAGGGUGUUUAAUACAGGCUGGGGUGCUUGCAGCUGGGCCAGAAAUGGACCACAUUCCCAGUUGUCUUCACUUCAAACCCACUGAGUGCCCACAGUGUAGCUGGCCCCUGGGAGACACCUGGAGACACAGUGCAUGCAAGGACACUGACACUGCCAUCUUUCCUGGGUGGGCAGAUGGCAGGUGACACAGAGAGCAGAAAGAUGACUUUGGCAGUAAUGAGAGCAAAUCUGGCAGUGGACAUCCAGGGAUGGGAGCUCUGUGUAGGAGCACAAGCUCCGCAAUUUGCGUGCAAAUAUUUAUAAGUGUCCCAGACAGAGCUCAGUGGCUGAGCUUCCUUCUCUCCAACUCAGUUUUGCCAAAUCUCCUCAUUUCCUGAGACGCACUCCUACAUGGCAAACCUCAGCUCCGAUCCUCAUCAAUCCCCAGUGUCUCUCUAAACUCAGAGCAUCUCCCUGUGCAGAAGUGACAGGCACAUGAAUUAGACUCAGUCCACCCCUUGAAGGCCUAGUCGGGCAGAGGGUGGGUGGGCAGCCCUCCCAGAUGGCAUCUUUGCUUUGGGGAUGUCAGGGGCACAGACACGUUCAAGCCUGGGCAGGGAGGGUGCUUGCCUCUGACUCCCCAGCCUGCAGGCAGAUCCCUUUUGUCCAUGGGGCAGGGGGAUUGAAAGAGUUGAUGGUCCUUUCCCCAGAGCCGACCCAACAUGCUGAAGCCAGGUCUACAAGGUCACCAGCAGCCCUGCUGGGGCUUGUGUUGGGCUGGAUGCCCAGGCAGGGAUUGGGGAGGCUGAUAGGAGGUGGAGGUCGAGCCUGCCCCAUGUAGCUCCAGGCUGAGCUGGUGAAAUGGGACCUCAUCUCACAAAGCUGGGAAUGCUGGGUGGAGCCCAGUCCCCUCCAGGGAAGGCUACUGGGAAUGCCAACUUGCAAAAUGUCUUUUAGAAGAAACAGAUUUGACUCAAACUUCAGAGUCUGGGGACUUAGGCACAACAGGCAAUGUGACAGCAGAGGAAGGAAGGCAUGGGCGUGGAGGCUGAGGCAGGCACUUGGUGUGGUCUCCAAUCUGGAGAGUCCCACUUAACUACAUGGCCUGAGCAUCUCCCCUUUUGCCUUGCCACUAAGGGGGUAUCAUUUUCUCUAAUUCACAGAUAAUGGAAGCAAGGCCAGAGAGGAUAAUCACCCACCAAGAGCUCAGAGUCAGUAACCAGAAUAUAUCAGAAUCUCAGCUCAUGUGAUCCCUGGGUCAAAGGACAAAGCUCCCUGGAGAAGACACAGAAACUAGCUGGGAUGAAGGCCGAAACUGACUGGGAAGCCUCUGAGAUCCCAGCAGACAGUUCCCAUGGUGAUGCUGGCUAAAUGCCCCAUACUUCUCACGUAUGGGGGAAGGCCUGCUCCUCCUGGGGCUCUUCCUUUUGCUAUGGACUUCGGCUUUGCUUCUGGAGGACCUGAGGGAGCAGCUGGUGCUGGGCAGAAACACAGCCCUAGGGUUUCACUUGGCUCCAGCGUGUCUUAACUGGGUGGCCUUGAGAAGAUCUCUUAAGCCCUCUGAUCCUCAGUUUCUUCAUUUUCUUCAUUGUAGCAAGAUCUAAUAAUACACUGCCAGUUGCUGCAAGGAUUAGUGGCAUACUGUAUGCAAAAUGCUGGACAUAUGAUCGUGCACAGUAAUGAGGAGCUAUUAAUAUUAUGGCAGCUGCCGGCUGCAGCCUCCUGCUCCUCAGUGGUCCUCGGCUUCAGUCACCCCAUUACCUCCAAGGGGGUUGCACCCACCUUGCUAGUACUGUGGGAUGGAGGCUAAUCUCCCAGGGAUUCAUUGACAGAUACCUAUGGUCCAAGAGAUGCCCUAGACAUAAGGAAAUGGAGUGGCUUCCCCGGUCCUGCAUCCUACGCACGUUAUGUAGCAUCUGAGAAGAGCUGUCGAGGUAGCAGCUGGUCCCGCAGCGCUGCCUCUCACAGGAGCGAUUAGCUGUGUCAUGCAUCCACUUGUAAUGAAAUAGAAACGUUUUGAUUUCUCUGGGAAGCCGGAUUUUCUCCCAAAUCCUUGCUGCUUUCAUCCAUGGACAUGAAACAGCCCAUUCUAAUCUCAUACCAGGAGCAGCAGUUAUAAGGAGCCCAUGAAAUCUGAUCAACCUCUCGGCUCCUGGGCGGCAGCUUUGAUUGCUGGGAGGGAGCAAGUCGUCCUGGGCCUGGUGCUAAUAGCUCCAUGCAUUAUUGAAGAGCCGUCUUUUCAGGGGCAGACACACCCCAGGAAGACAUCCGGACUGCAGACUGCGUGUCAGCCGCUUCCCUUGCUCCUUGCGAUGGAGAUUUGGGAUCUGGCAGAGCCACAAAAAAAGAGGCACUUGACAGAAAUGUUUGUGCAGCUUCCGCGUCCUCAUUGGAAGGCAGCUGAUGUGGAACAAGCAAAUAAGGUGAAACCAGCACUUUCCAAUUCUCCCAGUUGCCCUCCUCCAGAACAAACAUCUGAGGAAUGAGCAGCUGCCUGGGAGCUUCUGCAGGAGAGGGUGCGUGCCCAGGGCAGGAUGCUCACCUCAGCCAGGGCUGGGGCCUGACAGUAUCUUCCUAACCCUAGGAUACCCAGGUUUUAGAGCCAAGAGGGGCAAAUCAAGAGCUGGGCUUAACAUCCCUGAGAAUUUGCUGGAAAUGCAAAGAGGGCAGGUUUACUUUGUGAAUCCCCACUUACUGUUUGAACUAGAUGAACUAAUUAGACCCCCCCCCUUUUUUUCCAUUCAGAAAUUGGUAUUUGAGUGUCUACAAUGUGGCAGGCACUGAUUAAAACACCGAAUGCCUGACAGUGAGUGCAAACAGUUGGGAAUUCCAGUCGUCAAGAUGGCCCCACUAAUCUCUGCCUUCUUGCAUCCAUGUACUUUAUGCAGCCCCCUCCCCUGCUGAAGAGGGGUGGGUAGUCUGUGUAAUCAAUAGAACAUUGCAGAACAAGGAUGUGGAAUGUCUGAAACUAGGUUUAAGAGACAUUGUGGCUUCUCUCUUGGAUCAGUUCUCCAGGGGGAGCCAGCGCCAUGCUGUAAGAGAGGACCCCAUGGCUAUCCGGGAAGUGGAUCUUCUAGCCCCAGUCAAGCCUUUGCUGACUGCAGCCCUGGCUGACAUCUUCACUGCAAACUCCUGAGACAGCUUGAUCCAGAAGCAUCCAGCUAAGCUGCCCAAAUUCCUCACCAACACAAACUGUGAGACAAUAAAAGCUUGUUGUUUAAACACACCCUCAAUAACCAUAGGUCCCACCUCAAAGGUUCCACCACCUUCCAAAAGUGCCAGCCUGGGAUGGCAUGGGUGGCUCAGACAGCCAGAAAGUGCUUACUUAACAUGCCUGUCUGUCGUGUUCAUGAAGCUGUUAGCUUGGGUAGUAACAGGUCCGUAGUAUUACCCUUGCUUCCAGACAGAAAAAUGUCCCACUUAAGGCAAAUAUUAGACAUCCCAUGCUCCAUGACCCCUGUUCUAAAUUCUGGGUUGUUUGCUCUCCCUUGAGAAAUUUCUGACCACUUAAUACUCACCUUUAAUACCCAUCUUUUAAUUAGAAUAUAGAUAUGAUUUGUCCAAAAUACUAGACAGUUAAAUCCAAUCUCUCCCAAUUAAAAAUCUUUUGAUAGCUCCCAGUCAACUGGAAUAUUCUCAAGUCAUGCCACGUCCUCUGUGAUCUGAACCCUCCUAGAAUCACUACCUCCCACCAGCCUCACCCAGCUACUGGAAGGUUUCUGGAGUCCUAAAGGCUCUUUUGCUAUAGGACAGUGUCUAUGUAAUGACUACCCUGAACCCAGGGUUGCCAAAAGUCUCUGCUUCUUUCUUUUCUUUGUUUGCUUCUGCAGGAUUUGGCUUUGAAUCAUCUCUUCUGGAAAGCCCUUGCCCACCCUGCUGACAA
rnacentral:lncRNA from 1 species